GACGAACGCUGGCGGCGUGCUUAACACAUGCGAGUCGAACGGAAAGGCCCUGCUUUUGUGGGGUGCUCGAGUGGCGAACGGGUGAGUAACACGUGAGUAACCUGACCUUGACUUUGGGAUAACUUCAGGAAACUGGGGCUAAUACCGGAUAGGAGCUCCUGCUGCAUGGUGGGGGUUGGAAAGUUUCGGCGGUUGGGGAUGGACUCGCGGCUUAUCAGCUUGUUGGUGGGGUAGUGGCUUACCAAGGCUUUGACGGGUAGCCGGCCUGAGAGGGUGACCGGCCACAUUGGGACUGAGAUACGGCCCAGACUCCUACGGGAGGCAGCAGUGGGGAAUAUUGCACAAUGGGCGGAAGCCUGAUGCAGCAACGCCGCGUGCGGGAUGACGGCCUUCGGGUUGUAAACCGCUUUCGCCUGUGACGAAGCGUGAGUGACGGUAAUGGGUAAAGAAGCAUCGGCUAACUACGUG
rnacentral:rRNA from 1 species